GAGAAGCGUAUAGGAGAGGAAGAUGCAGCAGAAGGAAACAAGGACAGUCCUGCUAAUGAAAAUGAAGAAAAGGAGUCUGAGGACAAGGAGAUGACACUGGAAGAGUAUGAGAAGGUGCUGGAAGAGAAAAGGAAGGCCCUGUAGGCUCA